rnacentral:rRNA from 1 species
GGGUAAGAUCUCCGUUGGUGACCAGCGGAGGGAUCAUUACCGAGUUUACAACUCCCAAACCCCUGUGAACAUACCUUAAUGUUGCCUCGGCGGAUCAGCCCGCGCCCCGUAAAACGGGACGGCCCGCCAGAGGACCCAAACUCUAAUGUUUCUUAUUGUAACUUCUGAGUAAAACAAACAAAUAAAUCAAAACUUUCAACAACGGAUCUCUUGGUUCUGGCAUCGAUGAAGAACGCAGCAAAAUGCGAUAAGUAAUGUGAAUUGCAGAAUUCAGUGAAUCAUCGAAUCUUUGAACGCACAUUGCGCCCGCUGGUAUUCCGGCGGGCAUGCCUGUUCGAGCGUCAUUUCAACCCUCAAGCCCCCGGGUUUGGUGUUGGGGAUCGGCUCUGCCUUACGGCGGUGCCGCCCCCGAAAUACAUUGGCGGUCUCGCUGCAGCCUCCAUUGCGUAGUAGCUAACACCUCGCAACUGGAACGCGGCGCGGCCAUGCCGUAAAACCCCAACUUCUGAAUGUUGACCUCGGAUCAGGUAGGAAUACCCGCUGAACUUAAGCAUAUCAAAAGCCGGAGGAA